rnacentral:rRNA from 1 species
UACGGGGGGGGCAAGCGUUGUUCGGAAUUACUGGGCGUAAAGGGUUUGUAGGUGGCUUGUUAAGUCAGACGUGAAAUCCCUCAGCUUAACUGGGGAACUGCGUCUGAUACUGGCGAGCUUGAGUGCAGGAGAGGAACGCGGAAUUCCAGGUGUAGCGGUGAAAUGCGUAGAUAUCAGGAAGAACACCCGUGGCGAAGGCGGUUCUCUGGGACGGUACUGACGCUGAGACGCGAAAGCGUGGGGAGCGAACAGG